AUAAUUUCCUGGGAUGUGGUGUCCAGCUGUGUGUAUGCGUGAUACACUGAAAAUAAGGGACAUGGCUACUUUGGAGAGUGUUUCCAGUGGUGAAGCUCUGAACGGCAUGAGAUCUGAUAGAUAUCACAGGAUUAGCAAGCCAUCUCUCCACACUGCCCAGCUUCCCCUCCGCCUCCACCAGCUCUCUCCAUGUGGCCAAUGAGGGGAAGAUGCAUGAUGAAACUUUGCCAGUGGAACUUCCAGAAUGAGGAUUUUUAUCCAGGAUGUUCAUUUUGACACCCCAGAUGGUUAUUCAAUCCCUGAAGUAUGGGAUGAUCCAUAUUCACAUUAUCCCAAGGGAAGCUCUUUGGAAGAACUGUGACCUCUUUGCACUUGAAG